ACCAGACUCCUACGGGAGGCAGCAGUGGGGAAUAUUGCACAAUGGGGGGAACCCUGAUGCAGCGACGCCGCGUGGGUGAAGGAGUACUUCGGUACGUAAAGCCCCAUCAGCAGGAAAGAAAAUGACGGUACCUGACUAAGAAGCCCCGGCUAACUACGUGCCAGCAGCCGCGGUAAUACGUAGGGGGCAAGCGUUAUCCGGAUUUACUGGGUGUAAAGGGAGCGUAGACGGCAAUACAAGUCGGAAGUGAAAUACCCGGGCUCAACCUGGGAACUGCUUUGGAAACUGUAUGGCUGGAGUGCUGGAGAGGUAAGCGGAAUUCCUAGUGUAGCGGUGAAAUGCGUAGAUAUUAGGAGGAACACCAGUGGCGAAGGCGGCUUACUGGACAGUAACUGACGUUGAGGCUCGAAAGCGUGGGGAGCAAACAGGAUUAGAUACCCGAGUAA
rnacentral:rRNA from 1 species